UAGUCCAUUUUCAUGCUGCUGAUAAAGGCAUACCCAGGGGACUGGGAAGAAAAAGAGGUUUUACUGGACUUAUAGUUCCACAUGGCUGGGGAAGUCUCAGAAUCACAGUGAAAAGUGAAAGGCCUGUCUUCCUCAUGAAGAUACUUGAGUUACAUAAAGAAGCAGGGAUGACACUUGCUUCUGAACAGUGCUGGUGAAGGAUGAAGGAAGUUGCACAUCAGGGUUGGGAGACCUGACUGUGCCAAGAGAAAGAACACAAGUUGUACUAACUGUGAAGACUCUAGCUGAAGCUGAUGCAAAGACAGAAUAUGCCACCUAAAGACCCAGUAGGACCAGCCCCCUGUCAUCACAGCCAAUGAGAAAUGGGGGAUCACGCCAGAAUGUUUCAUCAGCUGCCUCCUGAAACCUAACACUGCCAUAAAGUGGAGUAGGAGGCAAAGCAAGACCCUUCUGAGGAAAACAGCCCUGAGUCAAUUUAACCUCUGAACUGACUAUCCUCUAAUGACUGUUUCUAACCUGAAGUGACUAAGUCAUGCUGAAAUGCAAGAUUAAGAGCUGUCUACUCUUAAAUGAAUAAAGUAAAUUCAGAGCUAAGUUGAAUUCAGUCAUGGAAAAAUAAAGUUACAUUUCUGACCAGCUAGCUCUAAGUGUGAAAUUAUAAAUCUAUGAAAUUUAUAAACUUUGUCAUACAACUGUUGUUAUCCUUAUUACCAUGAUCAUAACCACUUUUAAUACAACUUUUACUGCUAAGUAAAUCUGUAUUGUUUGAAAAAUAAAAAUAAAAAUAUUCACUGUGUUUAGUUAUUUAGGGCUAAUGACCUCAGAAAGACACAAUGUGGGAACAGGUGUUUGUGCUUAUGAAAGCCAGAAGGGAGUGGAGAAUGAAUGUGUGAAAAAGAAAUUACUGGAGUUGGUGGAGACAACUUUCUUGAAAAAUUUGUGCUUAAUUAGAGUUUUGGUUAUAGCUGUUUUAGUUAAUACACUAGCAGCUUGAUAUCAUGAAAAUGUCAAUUCUACCUAAAAUAAUACUUGUUUUUAAAUUUUUGUAAAUCUUUUAAAUAAGGUUUGAUUUAUGUACAAUAAAAUUCAUAAAUAUUAAGUGCACAGUUAGAUGCAUUUUUAGAUAUGUUUAAACUAUGUAACCACCACCUAGAUCAAGAUAUAAAAUAUUUUUAUCAUUCCAGAGUUAUCCUCAUGUUCCUUCCUAGUCAUUAGCCUUCCACAGUGAUAACUACUAUUUUGAUUUCUGUCACCAUAGAUGAGUUUUCUGUUCUGCUUUGAACAUUGUAUAAAUAGAAUUAUAUAGUAUAUACUCUUUUGUACCUGAUUUCUUUUUCUGAUUAUAAUAUUCUUAUUAUUCAUAUAUGCUGUUGUAUGUAUUAGUAGUUCUGUUUUUCCCUGUUUUUCCUUCUUUUGCUUUGAAGCAUCCCAUUGUAUGAAUAUGUUUUGAUCCAUUCUCCUCUUGAUGGACAUUUGGGCCAUUUCCAUUAUUUGACUAUUAUAAAUAAAAGCCGCUAUGAAUAUGUUUGUACAUAUCUUUCAGUGGAAAAGCCACAAAUUUCUCUUGGUUAUAUAAUUACGAGUGGAUUUGUUGGGUUAUUAGGUCAUUUGACUAUAAAAUGCUGCUGAAUUGUUUUCUCAAGUGGUUGAACCAAAUUACUUUCUCUUCAGCAAUAUAAGAAAAUUCCAGUUUCUCCAUACCCUCACCAACACUAUGUAUUACCAGUUUUUAAAAAUUGUAGCUGUCUCAGUAGGUGUGACGUGGUAUAUCCGUGUGGUUCUACUUUGCAUUUCUCUGAUGACUAAUCAUUUUGAGCCAUUUUACAUGCUUAUUGGCUGUGUCUUUUGUGAAGUGCCUGUUCAAGUCUUUGCCAAUUUUUAAAAUUAGCACUUUGUCUUUUUCUUAUUAGUUUUAAAAGUUUCUUCAAUAGUCUGUAUACAAGAUCUUUGUAUUAUAAAUCACUUCUUAUCUGUGGAUUUCUUACUCACAUAUUUAAUAAUUUUUCUGAGGUCACAGAAAUGGUCUUAAAUUAAAGAAAUUUUAAAAAAUGCAAAUGGCUCCAUACUAAUAGAAUGCAAGUGGGUGUUUGGGCUGGUUGCUGCUUAUGGCCACCUCAUACAGAGUUCCCAGCAUGACAUGAAACUAACUCACAAAGCUAUCAUUAUACUGUCAGAGUAACCAUGCUCUAUGCCAUUUGCAUUUCAAAGCAGGAAUAAAAAGUUUCCUUGUGCAUCCUGACCAAGAAAUAUCUUUGAUUAUGAUUAAUGUAUUAUGUCAAAAUGUAGGCUAGUUAAACUUUUGUAAAGUUGCCGGGAACGUCAUUUGUUAGGUUAUAAACACAAGAUCGAAAUGAAGGGUUUUAUGUGUUGUGUACAAAUCUUAAUUAUUUUGAAAUGGACAAACUUGUCAUUACAUUUGUAACCUUGUAUGGAGGAUUUUUCACUAUGUGCCUAGCUUGGUGUCCAUUCAGCUAAAAUUGAAAAAAAAAAAGGUGCAUGAAGAGUUAAAAUCAAAUUAAAGUACAUGUAGAGAUGAGUAUUUUAUAUUACAUGACCCAAUCCUGUAUUUAUUUCUACCCCCUUUUUGAAAGUAUUUAUAAAACUAGUUGAGGACAGCUGUAUUUUGUUGUUGAAGUGUUCAGUAGAAUUGUGCCUUUUUGUCUGUAUGUGAUUAAAUGCUGUACAUUUUGCAAUAAAAGAAAUUUUUUAUUUUAAUAAA